rnacentral:rRNA from 1 species
AGAGUUUGAUCCUGGCUCAGGAUGAACGCUGGCGGUAUGCCUAACACAUGCAAGUCGAACGGUCACUUUCGAGUGAUAGUGGCGGACGGGUGAGGAACGCGUGAGAAUCUGCCUUGAGGUCGGGGACAACAGUUGGAAACGACUGCUAAUACCGGAUGAGCUGAAAAGUCAAAGAUUUAUCGCCUCGAGAGGAGCUCGCGUCUGAUUAGCUAGAUGGUGAGGUAAAGGCUUACCAUGGCGACGAUCAGUAGCUGGUCUGAGAGGAUGAGCAGCCACACUGGGACUGAGACACGGCCCAGACUCCUACGGGAGGCAGCAGUGGGGAAUUUUCCGCAAUGGGCGCAAGCCUGACGGAGCAAUACCGCGUGAGGGAGGAAGGCUCUUGGGUUGUAAACCUCAAAACUUAGGGAAGAAGAAAGUGACGGUACCUAAUGUAAGCAUCGGCUAACUCCGUGCCAGCAGCCGCGGUAAUACGGAGGAUGCAAGCGUUAUCCGGAAUCAUUGGGCGUAAAGAGUCCGUAGGUGGCAAUUCAAGUCUGCUGUCAAAGACCGAAGCUCAACUUCGGGCCGGCGGUGGAAACUGAAAAGCUAGCUAUAGUAGGGGUAGAGGGAAUUCCUAGUGUAGCGGUGAAAUGCGUAGAGAUUAGGAAGAACACCAGUGGCGAAGGCGCUCUACUGGGCAUAUACUGACACUGAGGGACGAAAGCUAGGGUAGCGAAAGGGAUUAGAUACCCCUGUAGUCCUAGCGGUAAACGAUGGAUACUAGGUGUUGUCUGUAUCGACCCAGACAGUGCCGAAGCAAACGCGUUAAGUAUCCCGCCUGGGGAGUACGCACGCAAGUGUGAAACUCAAAGGAAUUGACGGGGACCCGCACAAGCGGUGGAGUAUGUGGUUUAAUUCGAUGCAACGCGAAGAACCUUACCAAGGCUUGACAUCCUGCGAAUUGAGAGGAAACUCACAAGUGCCUUCGGGAACGCAGAGACAGGUGGUGCAUGGCUGUCGUCAGCUCGUGUCGUGAGAUGUUGGGUUAAGUCCCGCAACGAGCGCAACCCUCGUCCUUAGUUGCCAGCAUUCAGUUGGGGACUCUAGGGAGACCGCCGGGGAGAACUCGGAGGAAGGUGGGGAUGACGUCAAGUCAGCAUGCCCCUUACGUCUUGGGCUACACACGUACUACAAUGGUGGAGACAAAGGGAAGCGAAGCCGCGAGGUGAAGCGAAUCCCAGCAAACUCUGCCCCAGUUCAGAUUGCAGGCUGAAACUCGCCUGCAUGAAGGAGGAAUCGCUAGUAAUCGCAGGUCAGCAUACUGCGGUGAAUCCGUUCCCGGGUCUUGUACACACCGCCCGUCACACCAUGGAAGUUGGUCACGCCCGAAGUCGUUACUCCAACCC